UGGCAUUCCUGCCUUUUGAUGGCAUUCCUGCCCAGAUACCAUCCCAUGCUUACAGAAUUACAUCUCCCUGGGAGUUAUUAAUAUAUUCAAGAUGAGGGUCCCUAUCAGAGAUAUGAACUGAAGAAAGGACAUACAUUCCUAACCUGGUGCCCCCUGGGGCAUCCUUGUAUAGGGGAGAAGAGCUUACCAGAGAGAAGAGGAGGCCAGCCCAGAGGAAGGAGGUCCUUCUUGGUCUAUAACAGGAAUGUUCCUUACUCAACAGCAGGCAGACACAACCAGGGGUCAAGACACCCCACUUCAUGGGGAAGACUUGUUUGUCAUUGCCACCACUGGUUCAGAUCACAUAACCCUUCCAUUCUUCACCCAGAGUA
rnacentral:lncRNA from 1 species